GCUCUCUCUCUCUAAAAAGUAGAAACUAUCAAAGCAGCCAAGUGGGUUUGCUUUCUCUCUCUCUCUCUCUUAAAUUCGUCCCUUUUGUUUCUCAAAGUUUUCAUAACAUUCGGGCCCUUCCAUUUCGUUCUCUUCAUUAUCAAGGCGUUAUUACUACUCUUUCUCUCUCUUUAUUUCUCUCUCUCUAGAGUCGUAUGAUCAAUUCAUGGGCGACCAGCGCCCCCAUGUUUUGAGGGUUUGGUGAAACGACGGUGGCGUCAGCUCUGGCCAGCCGUUGAUAUCUUUCCUUCCACACAAAUGAACGGUUGGAUCUGAUCUUGAUCCGUGAGCCGCCCUCUCUAAAUCAUCCCCCUUGAAGAACUGCUCGGUCCCAUACCACAAAAGGAAAAGGAACGCCCAAAAAAGCAAGCAGAGGAGAAAGAAAGGGGAAAAAAGCUGCCUUUUUUAUUGGGAACCCUAUAGAGAGAGAGAGACUGCACCCCCAUUCUUCUUAUGUGAGGCAUCUAGAGAGGGAGAAAGAGAAAACCCACAUCCCCAUAUUCUGAUUUGAAGCUACCAGAGAGACAGACAGAUCCAUAUUCUUACUUGAGGCAAACAGAGGAGAGAGAGAAACACCUCCCCAUAAUUCUAUUAGAGAGAGAGAGGCGCAUCGCGUAAUCCUAUUAGAGAGAGAGAGAGCCCACAUCCUACCCUCUUAAUAGGAUCUGAUGUAAGAAUCUGAUGUUAUUAGCAGUGGAAAGUGGUUUCUUUUCCUCCUCUGCUUUCUCAUAUAGCAAGGGCCUGGCCAUCUUCUUCUUGGGUAAACACCAUAGCGAAAACCAACAAGACAACAAGUCCAAACAACAGAUGAGAGUGCUCCCUUUGAGCCACCAAGCCUAUCACCUCGUUCAAGACAUUAAUAGACCCCUGGCUUCUUCUUCUGUAAAAUCCCGGGCUCGAGGGUGUGCCUCCUUUAUAUGCUUUGGUCGAUCAUCUUCGAGACCCGAAGGCCCUUCUCUCCCAAGAGUAGAGCCAGUUCACCAACAAGAUGCCUCACAAUCGGAUUGUGCUGCCUCUUCUAAUGAUAAUAAUAGUAGGAAGGUGUUUCUCAAGAGUAGUUUGAAGAGGCCGCCUGGUAAUACUAAUGAUGAUUCUUUGGUUCAAUCAGUGGGUGGAGAUAUAGUAGAGGCCCAAGAUGGGAAGGCCAACACAAUCCCCAGUUCUACAGCUAAACGGAAAGUUCAGUGGACUGAUACUUUUGGAAAGGAGCUUACCGAGAUCAAGGAAUUUGAACCCAGUGAGGCUGGGGCAUCGGAUGAUGAAAGUGAUGGAGAGGGGCGCCAUGGAUGUGCAUGUGCCAUUCAGUGAUUUGGGCUAAUGGAUUUCUUUGCACCAACCAGUUCUCUCUUCUCAAUUGAAAUCUGUACCCUUCCUUGCAUUUUCAAGGAGAGAUUACCACGAAGGAGAGAGAAGGGAUGGGAUCUCGAGGAUUUUGGAGAAGUUAUUUGGCCAUCUUUAGGGUGCCGGUGCCAUGUGGGUUGGGUCAUGGGGAACAACUACCAGUUGGGGUCCUGCAUUUACUAAUUGAUCAUUUUCUAUAAGAUGGUAGUACUGAUAUUUCAAGAUCUUUUUUGGUUCUAAGAGAGAGAGAGAAUGAGAGAAAGGUGUGUGUGUGAGAGUGAAUUUUGAACUAUACAUCAGUGUUAGAAAGAAUGACUUGGGCCAUCGAAUUGGUGAGUUGCACGUUCUGAAUCGGUCUGUUGAACCGAUCUUUUAUUUGGACUGGUUUGGCCAAAAGACAAAAAAAAGCUCAAAGAUGAAGGGAAAGAAAGAAAGCGAAGGAUGGUUCUUUCAAGAACUGAUU